CUUGCUUCUCUUGAGAGCGGCGGACGGGUGAGUAAUGCCUAGGAAUCUGCCUGGUAGUGGGGGAUAACGUCCGGAAACGGACGCUAAUACCGCAUACGUCCUACGGGAGAAAGCAGGGGACCUUCGGGCCUUGCGCUAUCAGAUGAGCCUAGGUCGGAUUAGCUAGUUGGUGGGGUAAUGGCUCACCAAGGCGACGAUCCGUAACUGGUCUGAGAGGAUGAUCAGUCACACUGGAACUGAGACACGGUCCAGACUCCUACGGGAGGCAGCAGUGGGGAAUAUUGGACAAUGGGCGAAAGCCUGAUCCAGCCAUGCCGCGUGUGUGAAGAAGGUCUUCGGAUUGUAAAGCACUUUAAGUUGGGAGGAAGGGCAGUAAAUUAAUACUUUGCUGUUUUGACGUUACCGACAGAAUAAGCACCGGCUAACUCUGUGCCAGCAGCCGCGGUAAUACAGAGGGUGCAAGCGUUAAUCGGAAUUACUGGGCGUAAAGCGCGCGUAGGUGGUUCGUUAAGUUGGAUGUGAAAUCCCCGGGCUCAACCUGGGAACUGCAUUCAAAACUGACGAGCUAGAGUAUGGUAGAGGGUGGUGGAAUUUCCUGUGUAGCGGUGAAAUGCGUAGAUAUAGGAAGGAACACCAGUGGCGAAGGCGACCACC
rnacentral:rRNA from 1 species